UGCCAUUUACUGCUUUUUAUUUAUGCCUCACGUAAUGACGAGCACCGUUUGCGUUCCUGGGUCCAACACUGUGAUUGUUUGUAAAGUUGAAUUAUCAAAUGGUAACACGUGUCGCCUCUCAGAAUGCAGUCGUUUAAUAUUGGCUAGCUUUGUCAACUGAUGGCUCAAAAAAUUGGACUCUACGAAGGAGAUCGUCUCUGCUAUGGAGAACUCACUGAGUCGACUAUCCUCUCGUAUCCGCCCUUCUUCCCGUUUCGAGUUUCAUCAGCUUCUAGGUCAUGGGCUA